rnacentral:rRNA from 1 species
CUGCCAGACUCCUACGGGAGGCAGCAGUGGGGGAUAUUGCACAAUGGGGGAAACCCUGAUGCAGCGACGCCGCGUGUGGGAAGACGGUCCUCUGGAUUGUAAACCACUGUCCCCAGGGACGAAGAUGACGGUACCUGGGGAGGAAGCUCCGGCUAACUACGUGCCAGCAGCCGCGGUAAUACGUAGGGAGCAAGCGUUGUCCGGAAUUACUGGGUGUAAAGGGAGCGUAGGCGGGAUGGCAAGUCUGAUGUGAAAGCCCGGGGCUCAACCGCGGGACUGCAUUGGAAACUGCGGGACUGGAGUGUCGGAGGGGUAAGCGGAAUUCCUGGUGUAGCGGUGAAAUGCGUAGAUAUCAGGAGGAACACCGGUGGCGAGGGCGGCUUACUGGACGAUGACUGACGCUGAGGCUCGAAAGCGUGGGGAGCAAACAGGAUUAGAUACCCUUGUA